rnacentral:rRNA from 1 species
UGAACGCUGGCGGCAUGCCUUACACAUGCAAGUCGAACGGCAGCACGGGUGCUUGCACCUGGUGGCGAGUGGCGAACGGGUGAGUAAUACAUCGGAACAUGUCCUGUAGUGGGGGAUAGCCCGGCGAAAGCCGGAUUAAUACCGCAUACGAUCUACGGAUGAAAGCGGGGGACCUUCGGGCCUCGCGCUAUAGGGUUGGCCGAUGGCUGAUUGGCUAGUUGGUGGGGUAAAGGCCUACCAAGGCGACGAUCAGUAGCUGGUCUGAGAGGACGACCAGCCACACUGGGACUGAGACACGGCCCAGACUCCUACGGGAGGCAGCAGUGGGGAAUUUUGGACAAUGGGCGAAAGCCUGAUCCAGCAAUGCCGCGUGUGUGAAGAAGGCCUUCGGGUUGUAAAGCACUUUUGUCCGGAAAGAAAUCCUUGGCUCUAAUACAGUCGGGGGAUGACGGUACCGGAAGAAUAAGCACCGGCUAACUACGUGCCAGCAGCCGCGGUAAUACGUAGGGUGCGAGCGUUAAUCGGAAUUACUGGGCGUAAAGCGUGCGCAGGCGGUUUGCUAAGACCGAUGUGAAAUCCCCGGGCUCAACCUGGGAACUGCAUUGGUGACUGGCAGCUAGAGUAUGGCAGAGGGGGUAGAAUUCCACGUGUAGCAGUGAAAUGCGUAGAGAUGUGGAGGAAUACCGAUGGCGAAAGCAGCCCCCUGGGCCAAUACUGACGCUCAUGCACGAAAGCGUGGGGGAGCAAACAGAUUAGAUACCCUGGUAGUCCACGCCCUAAACGAUGUCAACUAGUUGUUGGGGAUUCAUUUCCUUAGUAACGUAGCUAACGCGUGAAGUUGACCGCUGAGGAGUACGGUCGCAAGAUUAAAACUCAAAGGAAUUGACGGGGACCCGCACAAGCGGUGGAUGAUGUGGAUUAAUUUCGAUGCAACGCGAAAAACCUUACCUACCCUUGACAUGGUCGGAAUCCCGCUGAGAGGUGGGAGUGCUCGAAAGAGAACCGGCGCACAGGUGCUGCAUGGCUGUCGUCAGCUCGUGUCGUGAGAUGUUGGGUUAAGUCCCGCAACGAGCGCAACCCUUGUCCUUAGUUGCUACGCAAGAGCACUCUAAGGAGACUGCCGGUGACAAACCGGAGGAAGGUGGGGAUGACGUCAAGUCCUCAUGGCCCUUAUGGGUAGGGCUUCACACGUCAUACAAUGGUCGGAACAGAGGGUUGCCAACCCGCGAGGGGGAGCUAAUCCCAGAAAACCGAUCGUAGUCCGGAUUGCACUCUGCAACUCGAGUGCAUGAAGCUGGAAUCGCUAGUAAUCGCGGAUCAGCAUGCCGCGGUGAAUACGUUCCCGGGUCUUGUACACACCGCC